rnacentral:rRNA from 1 species
GGCCAUGUUGAAACACUAGUUCUCGUACAAUCACUGAAGUUAAGCAACAGUGAGCCUGGUCACUACCUAGAUGGGUGACAACUUGGGAAUACCAGAUGCUGUAAG